rfam:Mesocestoides corti genome assembly, scaffold: MCOS_contig0001610
GUCGGAUAUGGAGACAUGCGGCCAGUAACCGUGGGCGGCAAACUAGUUGGUUCGUUAUGCGCGAUUGCUGGUGUUCUGACCAUCGCUCUUCCUGUCCCUGUUAUUGUAUCAAAC